UCGAGGAUCUUCGGCAAUGGGCGCAAGCCUGACCGAGCGACGCCGCGUGUGCGAUGAAGGCCUUCGGGUUGUAAAGCACUGUCGAGGGGGAGGAAGCCGCAAGGUUGACCUAUCCCUGGAGGAAGCACGGGCUAAGUUCGUGCCAGCAGCCGCGGUAAGACGAACCGUGCGAACGUUAUUCGGAAUCACUGGGCUUAAAGGGCGCGUAGGCGGGCUCCCAAGUCUGCGGUGAAAGCCUCCAGCUUAACUGGAGAAGUGCCGUGGAUACUGCGAGUCUCGAGGAGGGUAGGGGCAUCUGGAACGUUGGGUGGAGCGGUGAAAUGCGUUGAUAUCCAACGGAACUCCGGUGGCGAAGGCGAGGUGCUGGACCCUUUCUGACGCUGAGGCGCGAAAGCCAGGGGAGCGAACGGGAUUAGAUACCCCCGUAGUCC
rnacentral:rRNA from 1 species